AACGAACGCUGGCGGCAGGCUUAAAACAUGCAAGUCGAGCGCCCCGCAAGGGGAGCGGCAGACGGGUGAGUAACGCGUGGGAACCUACCCAUCUCUACGGAAUAACUCAUGGAAAAGUGUGCUAAUAGCGUAUACGUCCUUGGGGAGAAAGAUUUAUCGGAGAUGGAUGAGCCCGCGUUGGAUUAGCUAGUGGGAGGGGGAAAGGCCUACACAGGCGACGAUCAAUAGCUGGUGUGAGAGGAUGAUUAGCCACACUGGGACUGAGACACGGCCCAGACUCCUACGUGAGGCCACAGUGGGGAAAAUUGGACAAUGGGCGCAGGCCUGAUCCAGCCAGGCCGCGUGAGGUAUGAAGGCCCUAGGGUUGUAAAGCUCUUUCACCGGUGAAGAUAAUGACGGUAACCGGAGAAGAAGCCCCGGCUAACUUCGUGCCAGCCGCCGCAGUAAAAC
rnacentral:rRNA from 1 species